GACAGAGGGUGCAAACGUUGCUCGGAAUUACUGGGCGUAAAGCGCGUGUAGGCGGACCGGAAAGUCGGGCGUGAAAUCCCUGGGCUCAACCCAGGAACUGCACUCGAAACUUCCGGCCUUGAGUGGUGGAGAGGGUAGUGGAAUUCCGCGUGUAGCAGUGAAAUGCGUAGAUAUGCGGAGGAACACCGAUGGCGAAGGCAAUCCCCUGGACCUGUACUGACGCUCAUGCACGAAAGGCGUGGGGAGCAAACAGG
rnacentral:rRNA from 1 species